UAGGGAAUAUUGGACAAUGGGCGCAAGCCUGAUCCAGCCAUGCCGCGUGAGUGAUGAAGGCCCUAGGGUUGUAAAGCUCUUUCAAUGGUGAUGAUAAUGACAGUAACCAUAGAAGAAGCCCCGGCUAACUUCGUGCCAGCAGCCGCGGUAAUACGAAGGGGGCUAGCGUUGUUCGGAAUUACUGGGCGUAAAGCGCGCGUAGGCGGAUUGAUCAGUUGGGGGUGAAAUCCCGGGGCUCAACCCCGGAACUGCCUUCAAUACUGUCAAUCUAGAGUUCGAGAGAGGUGAGUGGAAUUCCGAGUGUAGAGGUGAAAUUCGUAGAUAUUCGGAGGAACACCAGUGGCGAAGGCGGCUCACUGGCUCGAUACUGACGCUGAGGUGCGAAAGUGUGGGGAGCAAACAGGAUUAGAUACCCCCGUAGUCC
rnacentral:rRNA from 1 species